GAAGUUCGCACAGGUGUAGCGCCGAGUGAUAUUCAGGUCUACCUCGAAGGUCAUAGAGGACGUGAUCCUACAAAUCCAGAUCAGUUAUGCUCUCAGGUGGCUACAGAGCGUCUGGCGGCAUAUGGUGACCAAAUGAUUGCUCGCCAUGGAGAGGGUUAUGAUUGGAGAAACGCGCCUAUUGAUCCUGAGGCCGUUUACAGUAGUGGUGGUGGAAAACCUCAUGGCCGGUAUCCAUUAUUCGACAAAGUCGUUGACUCGAGUCAGGUGCCGUCGCGUCAAAGAGCGGGAUCGUCGCGGUCAGCAAGUCGCAGCACAAGUAGUGGCGACGACAGCGCGGAGGUUGUAAGGCUGUGUGAAAGAGUAAGACAACAGGAGCUACAGCAGCAGUGGUUCCAAGCUCAACUUGCACAACAGAAUGCAAUACUGCAAGUAAAUCUUAAUUGUUACAACUUAGGUUAAGUUACAUUCUUGCUGACAAAUUUGAUCUUUCAGCAAAUAGAGACCCAACAGAAUAUACAACUGCCACCACUGGUACCUCCACCUUUUGCACAGGCCGGUUGGCCAUCAGUUUCACCUCAGCUUUUUCACACCCCACCACCUAACCUAGCGGCACCGGGAGACUCACACGUUGAUCCAACAUCGAAUUGGGCGGAUCAAUUCAUUGGAAGUGGCGGAUCAGUUCAACCAGGUGAUGGAGGCGGCCAAACUUAAGUGAAACAUUAGUGUUCUAUGAAUUUGUUCUAUAUGAUACUUGUAUCAAGUUUGUGAACUUUGAUUAUGAACCUCUGAAGUUUACGUAUGUGGAUAUAUGAAUUGUGUACUUGCCUGCAAUU